rnacentral:rRNA from 1 species
GGACCAGCACAAAUGGUGGAUUAUGUUGUUUAAUUCGACAUCACACGCAGAACCUUACCAGGGCUUGACAUACUUCGCAAAGUUAUGGAAACAUAAUGGAGGUUAACGGAGAUACAGGUGGUGCAUGGUUGUCGUCAGCUCGUGUCGUGAGAUGUUGGGUUAAGUCCCGCAACGAGCGCAACCCCUUCUCUUAGUUACUUUAUCUAAGAGUACUGCUAGCGCAAGCUAGAGGAAGGUGGGGAUGAUGCCAAAUCAUCAUGCCCUUUAUGCCCUGGGCUACAAACGUAAUACAAUGGUCGGUACAAACUGUCGCCAAGUCGUAAGACGGAGCUAAUCAGAAAAAGCCGAUCUCAGUUCGGAUCGAGGGUUGCAAUUCACCCUCGUGAAGUUGGAAUCAUUAGUAAUCGUGUAUCAGACAUGUCA